UCAGAACGAACGCUGGCAGCGUGGAUUAGGCAUGCAAGUCGAACGGGAUCGGGAAGGUAGCAAUAUCGGCCCGUGAGAGUGGCGGAAGGGCGAGGAACACGUGGGCAACCUGUCCUUGAGGUGGGGAAAACCGUUGGAAACGACGGCUAAUACCGAAUGCGGCGCCGGGAGGCAUCUUCCGAGCGCUAAAGGGGGCCGCAAGGCUCUCGCUCGUAGAGGGGCUCGCGCACCAUCAGCUUGUUGGCGGGGUAACGGCCCACCAAGGCCUACGGUUAGCUGGUCUGAGAGGAUGACCCAGCCCCACUGGGACUGAGAUACUGCCCAGACUCCUACGGGAGGCUGCAGUCGAGGAUCAUUUGCAAUGGGCGAAAGCCUGACAAUGCGACGCUGCGUGGAGGAAUGAAGGCCCUCGGGUUGUAAACUCCUGUCAUGGGGGAACAGGCGAGGGGACCCAAUACGUCCCUUAGUUGAGUGUACCCCAAGAGGAAUUGGCGGCUAACUCUGUGCCAGCAGCUGC
rnacentral:rRNA from 1 species